rnacentral:rRNA from 1 species
UACGUAGGGUGCGAGCGUUGUCCGGAAUUAUUGGGCGUAAAGAGCUUGUAGGCGGUUUGUCGCGUCUGCCGUGAAAUUUCGAGGCUCAACCUCGAACUUGCGGUGGGUACGGGCAGACUAGAGUGCGGGUAGGGGAGAAUGGAAUUCCUGGUGUAGCGGUGGAAUGCGCAGAUAUCAGGAGGAACACCGAUGGCGAAGGCGGGUCUCUGGGCAGUAACUGACGCUGAGGAGCGAAAGCGUGGGGAGCGAACAGG